GGGGGGGGGGUUUUGGGCAUUUCAUUGUUUUUGCUUUGGACCCAUUUGGAAUGUUGUGCAGGCUUACGCAAAUGGAUUGGAGACUGAAGUUACACGUUUGCUGGAGGAAAAUGCUAGGCUGAGGAGACAAGUUGAUAGGUACCGUGCCGCUGCUGCUGCUCAGCUCCCAAAAAAGCAAACUCUGAGUAGAACCUUAACAGCCCCAUUUUAAGAAGGGAAAUAAGAGAGAAGGAGAGGUCUUUUUCCUUUUCCUUUUCCUUUUCCUUUUGGUUUCUGUCUUUUCAAUCCUCUUUUUCUUUCUUUUGUUUCUUUCUUACUACUGUGUUUGACUAGAGGGAGGGAUAUUAUUAUUAUAUAAAUGGUCUCUAGUCUUCUCUAUUA